GAUGAACGCUGGCGGCGUGCUUAACACAUGCAAGUCGAACGGAAAGGCCCUGCUUUUGUGGGGUGCUCGAGUGGCGAACGGGUGAGUAACACGUGAGUAACCUGCCCUUGACUUUGGGAUAACUUCAGGAAACUGGGGCUAAUACCGGAUAGGAUAUCCUGCUCCAUGGUGGGGGUUGGAAAGUUUCGGCGGUUGGGGAUGGACUCGCGGCUUAUCAGCUUGUUGGUGGGGUAGUGGCUUACCAAGGCUUUGACGGGUAGCCGGCCUGAGAGGGUGACCGGCGACCUUGGGACUGAGAUACGGCCCAGACUGCUACGGGAGGCAGCAGGGGGAAAUAUUGCACAAUGGGCGGAAGCCUGAUGCAGAAACGCCGCGUGCGGGAUGACGGCCUUCGGGGGAUAAACCGCUUUCGCCUGUGACGAAGCGUGAGUGACGGUAAUGGGUAAAAAAGCACCGGCUAACUACGUG
rnacentral:rRNA from 1 species